AGAAUCUCUGUUAAGCAGAAAGUGCUGGCCUGGCUGAGAAUUCGGAGGAUUCUGACUGGGGCACAGGCAAAGAGAAAAGGUCAGGCUCCCUCCCAGGCCUGUGAGGAGAUUCAGUCCUGAGGGAACCAGGAAACUCAGAAUAAUCCCAUCAAGACUCACUCUUUGGGAACUCCACGCUUUUAUUGCUGGGGGCCAGGUUCCAUCGCUGGUCGCUGGUCGGGGAACUAGGAUCCCACAAGCCCCUCAGUAGAGUCCCACUCUUUGCCACCUGAUGGACUGUAGCCCACUAGGUUCCUCUGUCCAUGGGAUUCUCCAGGGUAAGACGGGAAGCAGAGGAGUCAAGAGCCCUGGCUGACAUUUAAAUAUUUUUAUGGAAGCAGAUAAGGGAACAAGAAAGGCCAGUUGGAGGAGGCCCUUCCUUUUGAAUAAUUCAGGAGAUUCAACCAGUCCAUUCUGAAGGAGAUCAGCCCUGGGAUUUCUUUGGAAGGAAUGAUG